GCAUUAAUAAUUUAAUAUGAAAAAUACUAGUCUUGUAAACUAACCUUAAGAGAAAAUCUUUUAAUGCU
rnacentral:tRNA from 1 species